GGUCUAGCUUGCUAGACUGAUGGCGAGUGGCGAACGGGUGAGUAACGCGUAGGAAUAUGCCUUAAAGAGUGGGACAACUUGGGGAAACUCAAGCUAAUACCGCAUAAGCUCUGAGGAGUAAAGCUGGGGACCUUUGGGCCUGGCGCUUUAAGAUUAGCCUGCGUCCGAUUAGCUAGUUGGUGAGGUAAGGGCUCACCAAGGCGACGAUCGGUAGCUGGUCUGAGAGGAUGACCAGCCACACUGGGACUGAGACACGGCCCAGACUCCUACGGGAGGCAGCAGUGGGGAAUAUUGGACAAUGGGGGCAACCCUGAUCCAGCAAUGCCGCGUGUGUGAAGAAGGCCUGAGGGUUGUAAAGCACUUUCAGUGGGGAGGAGUGGUAUUUAGGUUAAGAGCUAGAAUAUUGGACGUUACCCACAGAAGAAGCACCGGCUAACUCCGUGCCAGCAGCCGCGGUAAUACGGAGGGUGCGAGCGUUAAUCGGAAUUACUGGGCGUAAAGGGUGCGUAGGUGGUUUGAUAAGUUAGCUGUGAAAUUCCUGGGCUUAACC
rnacentral:rRNA from 1 species